AGAGUUUGAUCAUGGCUCAGGAUGAACGCUGGCGGCGUGCCUAAUACAUGCAAGUCGAACGCACAGCGAAAGGUGCUUGCACCUUUCAAGUGAGUGGCGAACGGGUGAGUAACACGUGGACAACCUGCCUCAAGGCUGGGGAUAACAUUUGGAAACAGAUGCUAAUACCGAAUAAAACUUAGUGUCGCAUGACACAAAGUUAAAAGGCGCUUCGGCGUCACCUAGAGAUGGAUCCGCGGUGCAUUAGUUAGUUGGUGGGGUAAAGGCCUACCAAGACAAUGAUGCAUAGCCGAGUUGAGAGACUGAUCGGCCACAUUGGGACUGAGACACGGCCCAAACUCCUACGGGAGGCUGCAGUAGGGAAUCUUCCACAAUGGGCGAAAGCCUGAUGGAGCAACGCCGCGUGUGUGAUGAAGGCUUUCGGGUCGUAAAGCACUGUUGUAUGGGAAGAACAGCUAGAAUAGGAAAUGAUUUUAGUUUGACGGUACCAUACCAGAAAGGGACGGCUAAAUACGUGCCAGCAGCCGCGGUAAUACGUAUGUCCCGAGCGUUAUCCGGAUUUAUUGGGCGUAAAGCGAGCGCAGACGGUUUAUUAAGUCUGAUGUGAAAGCCCGGAGCUCAACUCCGGAAUGGCAUUGGAAACUGGUUAACUUGAGUGCAGUAGAGGUAAGUGGAACUCCAUGUGUAGCGGUGGAAUGCGUUGAUAUAUGGAAGAACACCAGUGGCGAAGGCGGCUUACUGGACUGCAACUGACGUUGAGGCUCGAAAGUGUGGGUAGCAAACAGGAUUAGAUACCCUGGUAGUCCACACCGUAAACGAUGAACACUAGGUGUUAGGAGGUUUCCGCCUCUUAGUGCCGAAGCUAACGCAUUAAGUGUUCCGCCUGGGGAGUACGACCGCAAGGUUGAAACUCAAAGGAAUUGACGGGGACCCGCACAAGCGGUGGAGCAUGUGGUUUAAUUCGAAGCAACGCGAAGAACCUUACCAGGUCUUGACAUCCUUUGAAGCUUUUAGAGAUAGAAGUGUUCUCUUCGGAGACAAAGUGACAGGUGGUGCAUGGUCGUCGUCAGCUCGUGUCGUGAGAUGUUGGGUUAAGUCCCGCAACGAGCGCAACCCUUAUUGUUAGUUGCCAGCAUUCAGAUGGGCACUCUAGCGAGACUGCCGGUGACAAACCGGAGGAAGGCGGGGACGACGA
rnacentral:rRNA from 1 species